rnacentral:rRNA from 1 species
GUGGCGGACGGGUGAUCAGCGCAGGUCUCGCCCUUCGGACGGGGACAACAUUCGGGAUCCGAUCGCUCAUACCGGAUGAGCCGAGAGGUAUACACCCUCGGCCUAGGGAUCGAACUCGCGUCUGAUUAGCUAGUUGGUGGGGUAAGGGCCUACCAAGGCAACGAUCAGUAGCUCGGUCUGAGAGGAUGACCAGCCACACUGGGACUGAGACACGGCCCAGACUCCUACGGGAGGCAGCAGUGGGGAAUCUUCCGCAAUGGGCGCAAGCCUGACGGAGCAACGCCGCGUGAGGGAGGACGGUUUGUGGACUGUAAACCUCUUUUAAUAGGGAAGUAAUAACUGACGGUACCUAUUGAAUAAGCAUCGGCUAACUCCGUGCCAGCAGCCGCGGUAAUACGGAGGAUGCAAGCGUUAUCCGGAAUUAUUGGGCGUAAAGGGUCCGCAGGUGGUUAAUCAAGUCAGGCGUUAAAGGUCCGAGCUUAACUCGGGGAGAGCGGUUGAAACUGAUUGACUAGAGUACGGUAGGGGCAGAGGGAAUUCCUAGUGUAGCGGUGAAAUGCGUAGAUAUUAGGAAGAACACCAGUGGCGAAGGCGCUCUGCUGGGCCUGUACUGACACUGAGGGACGAAAGCUAGGGGAGCGAAAGGGAUUAGAUACCCCUGUAGUCCUAGCUGUAAACGAUGGAUACUAGGUGUUGCUCGUAUC